rnacentral:lncRNA from 1 species
GGAGGACUCCAGGGCGAUUUUUUAGAAAUUUAGUGGGUUUGGAAUUUCUCUCCAGAAGUUAAGCGUGCUUAGGAUUGCAAAGUAUUGUGGGCUGAAGUGUAGAAAGUAAGUGAAUUAGAAGAAAAAUCUGUGAUGUUCAGCUUUUUAAUAUUUGGGAAUAUUUUGUCUUUAGAAAGAAAAAAAAUAUUUUUUAUAAUUCUAGACACUCUAAAUAAAUGUAAAGAAUUAUUAAGAUGAUUAAUAGGAUAUGUUAUUAAGUGAAUUCUCUCCCAUGGGAAAAGACUUCUUUGGAUUAUUUUUGUGAAUCUUUAUAUUUUGAAAUAUUAGAUAAAGAUUAUUUGGGUUUAUGUACUAGAAGUCUGCACUUGGAGAGUGAGAAAAAGGGGAAAAUUUUAUGAGGCUUGAUACAAGGAUUCUUUACCUGUAGAGAAAUGAAUUUUAUUUUGCUAUUGUUUUUGUGAAAUUGUCACACUCAGGGUCACUCCAGGUGAACUGGGCUGCACAAAAUAACCACAUAGAGACAGACAAAUACCUUUUUCUUUGGGGUCCUGUGACACCUCCUCUGACCUUAAGGGUCUGCAGAAAGAGAGAGAAUGAGAGUGCGCGUGCUGAACUCUUUUACUGAGGAGAAGCCAUUCAAAUGAGGCAAGGGGUCAGGUUUCAGGGGGUUGAGUCUAACUUCAUGAUGUCUGCUAUCAGCAGGUUGACUAAUAUCUAGGAAGGCC